CAUCAGCAACAGAUCGCAUGUAGAGCAUUUUGACAAGCUGAUAUAUGGCUCUGAUAACAUUUUAUUAAAUCGGACCAGUGUUUCUGGCACUUCCUGGAAACUGCCCGACUUAACAGCGGAUUUUUGUCACCGCCCCCGGCAGCAGCCGCCUGCUCUCGUCCACUUUACAGGGGAGGCACAGUUCAUCUCGAACGAACCUAAUAUAACGUAUGUUACAAAGUGACGCAUGUUCGUCACAGAAGAAAAGGGUGGGCUACAAUAGAGCUGUUUGGAGCAGUUUGUGAAUAGUGUUUUCUGUUGGAGAUGGGUUUCUCCAGCUGAAUCUGCUCCUCCUCCUCUUUAAUGUUACCCACAUCCUGGUAUGGGCCAUGUGCCUGGGAGCGUUCAAUCUGAUCAUAUGUGGAACAACAAUCGUCCAGAUUUAGCCCCUGGGGUAGGAGCAACGUGACUUGGACGAGUAGGCUAUUUCUCACAAGCCUGCCAUGACAUGUUUGACUCAGAGAGGAUGUGACUCAUUUACCUGAUAUAUGUUUUCCUCUUCCUUCAUUGCUUUCUUUUUCUCCAGUUCAUUUAGUCUCUUUGACUGUGAGGGGGAAGCAGACGUUGGUAAAGCUGUGAAAUGGUGCAACUUCUCAUGGAGGAAAGGCAAUAAACAUUAUAAAAAAAAUAUCCAUUUGAGAAACGUAUAGCUGUGGAGUCAAAGCACAAUUGUCUUACAGAUUGCAAUAACUUCUAGUGUGUUGACAUGAAUGAUAUGCCAUUUUAAGACAUUUUUGUAAAUUGCUGCAACAUCAAUGCUAUGAGUCAAGGGGGCGUUGACAGAUCAAUGUAUGGUAAUGUGCAGUCAGUCAUAAUAAAGUGAUUUCUGACCUGGAAGAGAAGGGUGACAGAAGGCACAAGCACACACAGUAGCAGUAAGACUCCCUCAGCUGUCAGGAUCUUGUUUUUGGUGCUUUCGCUGAGGUUUAUUGUCUUCUCCAUUGGUUCUAGGCAUACAGACAGGGUUCAGAGGUGAAACAAACUCAACAAGUGUUUGCAUGUUUUUGCAGUGAGAGUGCACACUUAAAAGAAGCCGAGGUCAGGUUAAUCAGGGUAACCUAAUAUUUACUUAACAUAAUUACUUUUUAUCAAUCUAUUAUGAGAUUGAUUGCUUUGU